rnacentral:rRNA from 1 species
GUAGGGAAUCUUCCACAAUGGACGCAAGUCUGAUGGAGCAACGCCGCGUGAGUGAAGAAGGUCUUCGGAUCGUAAAACUCUGUUGUUAGAGAAGAACACGAGUGAGAGUAACUGUUCAUUCGAUGACGGUAUCUAACCAGCAAGUCACGGCUAACUACGUACCAG